rnacentral:misc_RNA from 1 species
GGAAGGAUCAUUAGUGAACGCCCCUCGGGGCUUUAAUCCAACCGACCUCUGUGAACCGUCGGCCAUCGGGCCUCUUUACAAACAUCAGAAUGUCGUGAACGUAGUCAUCCAUAACAAAACAAAACUUUCAACAACGGAUCUCUUGGCUCUCGCAUCGAUGAAGAACGCAGCGAAAUGCGAUAAGUAAUGUGAAUUGCAGAAUUCAGUGAAUCAUCGAAUCUUUGAACGCACCUUGCGCCCUCUGGUAUUCCGGAGGGCAUGCCUGUUUGAGUGUCAUGUAGACUCGAUCCUUCCGGGUUUCCGGGAGGCUUGGACUUGGGUGUUGCCGGCGACGGCUCGCCUGAAAUGCGUUAGCGGAUGAAGCACCGAAAACGACGUGAUAAGUACUCGUCGCCAUUAGGCCGCCCUGAGCCCGCUCAUUGACUGCCCCUGGGCACCUUUUGACUCUGACCUCAAAUCAGGUAGGACUACCCGCUGAACUUAAGCAUAUCAAUAAGCGGAGGAAAAGAAACUAACAAGGAUUCCCCUAGUAGCGGCGAGCGAAGCGGGAAGAGCUCAAAUUUGUAAUCUGGCGCAAGCCCGAGUUGUAAUCUAUAGAAACGUCUUCCGUGCCGGACCGCGUCCAAGUCCCUUGGAACAGGGUAUCAAAGAGGGUGACAAUCCCGUGCUUGAUGCGACACCCGGGCUUUGUGAUUCGUUUUCUACGAGUCGAGUUGUUUGGGAAUGCAGCUCAAAAUGGGUGGUAAAUUCCAUCUAAGGCUAAAUAUUGGCGAGAGACCGAUAGCGAACAAGUACCGUGAGGGAAAGAUGAAAAGGACUUUGGAAAGAGAGUUAAACAGUAUGUGAAAUUGUUGAAAGGGAAACGAUUGAAGUCAGUCGUGGCUGUCGGAUUCAGCCGGUUCUGCCGGUGCACUUCCUUCGGCUGGGUCAACAUCAGUUCUGGCCGGUGGAUAAUGGCUGGGGGAAGGUAGCACCUCUGGGUGUGUUAUAGCCCCCUGUCGCAUACGUCGGCCGGGACUGAGGAAUGCAGCUCGCCUUUCAUGGCCGGGGUUCGCCCACGUUCGAGCUUAGGAUGUUGACAUAAUGGCUUCAAACGACCCGUCUUGAAACACGGACCAAGGAGUCUAACAUACCUGCGAGUGUUUGGGUGUCAAACCCGAGCGCGCAAUGAAAGUGAAUGCGGGAGGGAUCCGCAAGGAGCACCUUCGACCGAUCUGGAUCUUCUGUGAUGGAUUUGAGUAAGAGCAUGUAUGCUGGGACCCGAAAGAUGGUGAACUAUGCCUGAAUAGGGCGAAGCCAGGGGAAACUCUGGUGGAGGCUCGUAGCGAUUCUGACGUGCAAAUCGAUCGUCAAAUUUGGGUAUAGGGGCGAAAGACUAAUCGAACCAUCUAGUAGCUGGUUCCUGC